AAAAUAAACCUGAAAAACAUAGUUUGUACGUCAUCAGGAUUUACCUAGUAAAUACAAAAAGAAGACAGAGGAUAAUAGAUAUCGCGUGGAGAUUUUAUCACAAAGAAAUUCAACAAGAAAAUGUAAUUGUAAAUGUGGAACAGCAUUGAAACUACAAACUUAAAGGAAACCAAAGAUGUACAACACAAAUAUUGUAGUGGGAAGUCAAAAAGAAAACGAAGAAGAGAAAAAAGCAAAAUGUGACGUGUUAGCUGUUUAUAUGCCAGAUGAAGAAAUCCAAAGUCAGUUAACAACAAAGAAAAAAACAACUCAGGAAUGUAUAGACUACCGGAGUUAUCUCCCUGUAUACCAACCAACAACAAUACCUUUUCGAAAUGACCUGAAAAAGCACAAACACAGAAAAAUAUUACUGGGAAUACUUUUUGCAUCAAUAAUAGUGCUGUUCAUGGCCCUUGGAGGAACGAUAGGGUACGGCAUAUACAAGGGAAUGUUCUAAGAGACCACCAAUUAAAAAUGGAGGCAUUAUAACGAAGGGUUGCAGUUCAACUGCCGCCAUGAAAGACUGGAAAUUGAUGAACAGAAGAAAAUUACUGACAGAGUUGGUGCUUCUAUAUGUUUAACAAUACGAUAUGCAAAAAAACCAAGGUUGUUCAAAAACUAUAAAAGUGCCUUUUGCGGAUAUAUUUUUUGAUAAAAAUGCAUUUUUUAAACAAUUUUAUAAACUGCUUUAUUUGUGAGUGUAAUUAAACUGUCAUCAUGUAUAACUUCGGUAUGUUCUCAUUAUAUUUUGUAUGCAGAAUGACAGAUUUUGCCCGACAAUUCCUUAAGGAAGUUCGCUUGUCAUGUUUUGGAUUUUUUGUCAGAUUUUCGGAAUCCUCUGGUUUUAUCUAUUUGAAUGCCUUAAAAAAUUUUGCCCAUUGACCCCAUUUUUCUUUAUAAAAAUCUUUUACAUGCAUAAUUAUAAGCCAUCUGUAAAAGUCUUAUAAAAUCUUAAUUAUUUUUUAAUAGUUUUUGAGAACUUAAUUUGUCAAUGAUAAAGCUAUGAAAAAUCAAGAGAGAAUAUUUUCCCGCCAAAAUUUCAAUGGCUAAUAUCUCGAAAACAAGCACGUUGACCUAUAUUUUAUUUUUGCUCUUUUUGUUCCUUUAUUAAUCCCCUAUCAAUAUAUACUAGUGUUAUGAAAAGCUUGUUAUUUUGAAACUGAGUAGCGAACUUCCUUUACAUGGUGGAGUCAAAUUUAAAACUAAAACAAAACAAAAAAAGAAAAAGAAAAUGAUAAAAAACUUUAAUCUAACAUGUAAAAUACAGUCACUGCAACUUUUCAAUUUUUACAAAAUCAUAAAAUACCAGAGUAACAUAGCUAUCGGCGGACACCCACAAGAUUGCUAACAGCUACUGUGGUAUAUACAUGACAGUUUGCUACACAGUUCAUGAUUGGGGUUGAUUGUGCAAUGACACUGAAUCCAAAUUGUUUAUAGAUGUUGAUCCUGGAUUUUGAAAUACAGAUGGGGACACUAAGGCAACAUUAAAAGUUGGACAUGUUAAAAGUCUAUGCAGUAACCAAAUGAUAUAUAUAACCCCUCCGGGCCACCCCUAAUUCCCCUAAUUCCGCCUACGUUUAAAUUUUAAUUUUUUUGUAUGUUGGAUAAUCAAUGAUUGGCUGUUAACACCAUAGUCUUGUAUACGGCGAUGACUGAGCAAUCAGAAGAAAGAUAAAUUAUUAUGUGUUGUUAUUUUAUGUUUGUAUGUGGUGAGACUACAACAAAAUAUUGAAUCUGAAUCUGAAUCUGUUAUUUAAAAUUAGAAUUGUAAACGAGUAAUAUAUACCCCGUCCGAGUUUUUGAUAUCGUUGCAUCAGCAUGAUCAUGAUGUAAUAAUCUUAAUCAUACCAUUCAAACACACAUUAUACUGUAACGGUUAUUAUACAUGUUUUUUUUUUAUUUUAAAGAUUUUGUAUUGUUUUGUUGUGUAAAUUCUGGAUGUGUCUAAAAGAUAUAUGUUCGUGUGUGUGUACAUUGCAACUUGUGUGUAUGUGUGUGAUGAGAAGGUUGUACAACUACUAGAGAGAGAGAGAUAAAGAGAGGGAGAACGAGAUUGGGAUGAGAAAAAGAAUUUGUCUAGAGUAUAUAAGCUAGUGAAGAAAGGAAAACAAGAGGAAGAGAGAGAGAGAGUUUCACACAAACUAACAGUAUUCCAUCUACGAUCAAUAUUCAGUAAAACACAUGUGGCUGUCCAAUUUAAAAACCACCAUUUUUAUUUAUUUAUUAUGUUUAUAUGAUAACAUUUGUUAAAUAAAACAUUUUAUUGAAAAA